AUGUGGGCAUACCGUCUUCAUAAGCUUCCCCUAAUAUAUUCACUUUGCAAAACAAUUGAUGGUUUGAUGCCAAAUGCAAUUUGCAGGGAGCUCGAUGAAGCUUGGACGUUGGUGAGGGCUCCGACGGUGGUGGUGGUGCUGAGCUGGUUGUGGCCUCAAGCGUGUAAGGUGCUGAUGGAGGCCCUUGCCGCCGGCGCUGAUGUGUCCAUGAUUGGGCAGUUCGGUGUUGGCUUCUACUUCGCCUACCUUGUUGCCGAGAGGGUCGUCGUCACCAUGAAGCACAACGACGACGGGGGUACCAAGAUGGCCCUCUACCUCAAGAACGACCAGGAGAUGAUGGUGAUCUUCUUUUAUUACAGGAGAUAA
rnacentral:rRNA from 1 species